GGUUCCGUAGCUCAGUCGGUAGAGCAGAGGACUGAAAAUCCUCGUGUCGGUGGUUCGAUUCCGCUCGGAACCACCA
rnacentral:tRNA from 1 species